rnacentral:lncRNA from 1 species
ACACAAAAAAUUUUUACUAUAUAAUUAGAAAUUUUACAAGAAUACAAAAGAUGGAGAAGCAACUCUCUCUUAUGCGUCCUCUCUUCUACACAGCUCAGCCAUUAGCUCUCAUACAUAUGAUGCCUAAUGAUUAUCUAUUUAUACCAGACAUUAGGGUUAAUAACUGGUAGGGGUGUUUCCAGAUUUGUCCUCCAUUCCAAAGAGACAG